UACGGAGGGUGCAAGCGUUGUCCGGAAUCACUGGGCGUAAAGGGCGCGUAGGCGGCGCAACAAGUCACUUGUGAAAUCUCCGGGCUUAACUCGGAGCGGCCAAGUGAUACUGUCGUGCUAGAGUGCGGAAGGGGCAACCGGAAUUCUCGGUGUAGCGGUGAAAUGCGUAGAUAUCGAGAGGAACACCUGCGGCGAAGGCGGGUUGCUGGGCCGACACUGACGCUGAGGCGCGAAAGCCAGGGGAGCGAACGGG
rnacentral:rRNA from 1 species